rnacentral:rRNA from 1 species
CACGUAGGGGGCGAGCGUUGUCCGGAAUCAUUGGGCCUAAAGAGCUCGUAGGCGGCUCGGUAAGUCGGGUGUGAAACCCCCAGGCUCAACCUGGGGACGCCACCCGAUACUGCUGUGGCUAGAGUCCAGUAGGGGAGUGUGGAAUUCCCGGUGUAGCGGUGAAAUGCGCAGAUAUCAGGAGGAACACCAGUGGCGAAGGCGGUGCUCUGGGCCGGAACUGACGCUGAGGAGCGAAAGCGUGGGGAGCAAACAGG